rnacentral:rRNA from 1 species
GUGCUUAACACAUGCAAGUCGAGUGCGCGGUAGCAAUACUGGCGCACGGCGCACGGGUGCGUAACACGUGGGCAAUCUACCCUCGAGUGGGGAAUAACCCGCCGAAAGGCGGGCUAAUACCGCAUGACAUUCCUUGGACUUCGGUUCGAGGACUCAAAGCCGUAAGGCGCUUGAGGAGGAGCCCGCGGCCGAUUAGCUAGUUGGCGGGGUAACGGCCCACCAAGGCGAUGAUCGGUAGCUGGUCUGAGAGGACGGCCGGCCACACUGGAACUGAGACACGGUCCAG